AAAGUCGUAACAAGGUAACCGUAGGUGAACCUGCGGUUGGAUCAUUACUUAUGUAUGCGGGUGGUGAGUGGUGCUAACACGCCACCCACAGCACACCCACACCACACCACACCUGUGCGCUUGACUGUAUUUCGUUCGGGUCUCAUUAAGGACUCGGAUUGGAUUAAUAAACCAUUAGAAUUCGUCUUAAAUAAUCGUUCGUUUAAUAUUAAACAACUUUUGACAACGGAUCUCUUGGCUCUC
rnacentral:misc_RNA from 1 species